rnacentral:lncRNA from 1 species
CGCAAAAUAGAAAAUUGAUCCUUCUGUUCAUGGUCGAGGUAUUUUUCAAUGUUGAAAAAGGUAUCAAAAAACACAUUUGUCAACUUACAUCUCUUUAAAUCAUGCAGAGUAAUUUUUCCUUCAUACUGUGGCUUCACGAGAUCCAGCAUCUGGCACAAACAAUCUUCAAAUGGCAAGGGUUCUAUGGCCAUGUUAUCUAAUUUUUGGCACUGUUCUUCAUAAAAAUACUCUAAUUCAUACAUAGACAAAGCACCAUCUCCAUCAAGAUCCAU